CCUACGAGUGGCAGCAGUGAGGAAUAUUGGUCAAUGGCCGAGAGGCUGAACCAGCCAAGUCGCGUGAGGGAAGAAUGUCCUAUGGAGUGUAAACCUCUUUUGUCAGGGAGCAAAGUCACCCACGUGUGGGUGGUGGAGAGUACCUGAAGAAAUAGCAUCGGCUAACUCCGUUCCAGCAGCCGAGGGAAUACGGAGGAUGCGAGCGUUAUCCGGAUUUAUUGGGUUAAAAGGGUGCGUAGGCGGGUUAUCAAGUCAGCGGUACAAUAGGUGAGCUCAACUCCAUCCAGCCGUUGAAACUGAUGAUCUUGAGUGGGCGAGAAGUAUGCGGAAUGCGUGGUGUAGCGGUGAAAUGCAUAGAUAUCACGCAGAACUCCGAUUGCGAAGGCAGCAUACCGGCGCCCGACUGACGCUGAAGCACGAAAGCGUGGGUAUCGAACAGGAUUAGAUACCCUGGUAGUC
rnacentral:rRNA from 1 species